GCAUAACGCGAAGAACCUUACCAGGCCUUGACAUGCAGAGAACUUUCCAGAGAUGGAUUGGUGCCUUCGGGAACUCUGACACAGGUGCUGCAUGGCUGUCGUCAGCUCGUGUCGUGAGAUGUUGGGUUAAGUCCCGUAACGAGCGCAACCUUGUCCUUAGUUACCAGCACGUAAUGGUGGGCACGUCUAAGGAGACUGCCGGUGACAAACCGGAGGAAGGUGGGGAGUGACGUCGAAGUCAUCAUGGCCCUUACGGCCUGGGCUACACACGUGCUACAAUGGUCGGUACAGAGGGUUGCCAAGCCGCGAGGUGGAGCUAAUCUCACAAAACCGAUCGUAGUCCGGAUCGCAGUCUG
rnacentral:rRNA from 1 species